rnacentral:rRNA from 1 species
AUUGAACGCUGGCGGCAGGCUUAACACAUGCAAGUCGAGCGAGCGGCGGACGGGUGAGUAAUUUGUGGGAAACUGCCUGAUAGAGGGGGAUAACUACUGGAAACGGUAGAUAAUACCGCAUACCAUCAGAUGUGCCCAGAUGGGAGUAGCUAGUGGGUGGGGUAAUGGCUCACCUAGGCGACGAUCCCUAGCUGGUCUGAGAGGAUGACCAGCCACACUGGAACGGAGACACGGUCCAGACUCCUACGGGAGGCAGCAGUGGGGAAUAUUGCACAAUGGGCGCAAGCCUGAUGCAGCCAUGCCGCGUGUAUGAAGAAGGCCUUCGGGUUGUAAAGUACUUUCAGCGGGGAGGCGUUACCCGCAGAAGAAGCACCGGCUAACUCCGUGCCAGCAGCCGCGGUAAUAC